rnacentral:rRNA from 1 species
UACGUAGGGUGCAAGCGUUAAUCGGAAUUACUGGGCGUAAAGCGUGCGCAGGCGGCUUUGCAAGACAGAUGUGAAAUCCCCGGGCUUAACCUGGGAACUGCAUUUGUGACUGCAUGGCUGGAGUGCGGCAGAGGGGGAUGGAAUUCCGCGUGUAGCAGUGAAAUGCGUAGAGAUGUGGAGGAACACCGAUGGCGAAGGCAGCCUCCUGGGAUGACACUGACGCUCAUACACGAAAGCGUGGGGAGCAAACAGG